rnacentral:rRNA from 1 species
CUUGCUGGGUUGGGAUGAGUGGCGAACGGGUGAGUAACACGUGAGUAACCUGCCCCCUUCCUUUGGGAUAACGGUCGGAAACGGCUGCUAAUACCGGGUAUUCACUGUCCUUCGCAUGGGGGGUGGGUGGAAAGGUUUUUUCUGGUGGGGGAUGGGCUCGCGGCCUAUCAGCUUGUUGGUGGGGUGAUGGCUUACCAAGGCUUUGACGGGUAACCGGCCUGAGAGGGUGACCGGUCACAUUGGGACUGAGAUACGGCCCAG